rnacentral:lncRNA from 1 species
GAGAGACAUAGACCUGUUGAAGCACAUCCAGAGGGCCACCAACAUGAUCCAAGGAUAUAUCUCUCAAUGGUCUUCAUCAGUUGCCAGAAGCGUCCACCGAAAACAACCUUGAUUACUCUGAGAAUGUUUCGUACUUAAGAGGAUUUUUUAUUCUUGCAUUGUACACUCUUUACGCGCCUCAAAGAUCCAGACUGUCUGCACCCAUGGAAAAGGA